GGACGCGCGGCGGAGAGGCCUGCGCGCCAGGCUGCGGGAGCCAUGCGGCGGGCGAGAAGCGGCGGAGCGACCAAGCCACGCGGGCAGAAGCGGCCGGGGUCCUCCAGGGCCCCCGCCUCGGCCCCUAGUGCCGACCGCGCACGGCGGCCCGCAGCCCAGGCUGGGGGCGGGAGCCGGGCGGCGGCGAAGCAGCCGGCGGCCAAGCGACGGUCGCCGCCGGUGCAGGAGGCGGGCCCCGGGGAGCCGCCGCCGGUGCCGCCGUUGCCCCCGCCUCCGCCCGCGGCGCUCACCGCGUCCGAGCUGGACCUGGGCGAGCAGCGGGAGCGCUGGGAGACCUUCCAAAAGCGGCAGAGGCUCAGCUUCGAGGGCGCCGCCAAGCUGCUGCUGGACACUUACGAAUACCAGGGCCUGGUGAAACACACAGGAGGCUGCCACUGUGGGGCGGUGCGCUUUGAAGUUUGGGCCUCGGCUGACCUGCACAUCUUUGACUGCAACUGCAGCAUCUGCAAGAAGAAGCAGAACAAACACUUCAUUGUCCCGGCCUCUCGCUUCAAGCUUCUGAAGGGAGCCGACAGCAUCACCACGUACACCUUCAAUACCCACAAGGCGCAGCACACCUUCUGUAAGCGCUGCGGCGUCCAGAGCUUUUAUUCUCCCCGCUCUAACCCUGGAGGCUUCGCUUGUGCUAUUUCUAUACUCAGAAGACAAGGUGCAAGUCCCUGAAGGUCUACGGCUCCCAGGGUCUGGCUGUGGGCCCGCCCUGGGGACAGAACCACUUGGAAGGCCUUGGAGCUGGACCCUGGUCGUCUGCCCAAGACUAAGACUGACCGUAUCGGCUCCCUGUUCUCAGGCCUUUGGACUCGGACAGAUUGAAGAAUGCCCUGGCUCUCCUAGGCCUCCAGCUUGCAGGUGGCGGAUCCUUGAUUUCUCGGCCUCCAUAAUCGCUGGGUCCAGCAAGCUGCUUGUGGGCCCAAGAGGAGCAGGCUCAAGAGAUCAGGACAUAAGCUACAGACAUUCCUGGCACCUUAAGAUGGACUGCUGGCAGGAUGCAGGCUGGCGAGGCCUGAGCGUCAAGGUGGGUGUCCUGAGCUGUCUGCCCCUGCAGGUGAAUCGAAUGCCCACUGGAGCUCUAACCAGGAAUGUUCUCCCCACAGGGGCUGUGGAUUUAUCCUCGCGUUUUCUGGAGGGAAAAAUGGAGGCUCAAACUCCUAGCUUCAUGCUUGCCAACCCUGGGCAGCUUCUGAGCCUCUGGGAACCUCAGUUUCCUCGAUGAAGGUGAGCAUUAGGACAACACUUACCCCCAGAGUUACAGUGACAUCCUAACAUGAAAAUGCUUGUUCUGUGCCAGCGCAUCGAGGCAUAGGCUCAUGCAGACCUGGGUUUUCAGAGGGCAGCACGGAGGUGGGGGCACAGGUGAAGAGGGCACAGUCUGGGAAAAUCUCUGCCUCCCCCUGAGCUCUGUGGUUAUGCAGGAAAGGUGCAGAGAGAUGGGCCAGGUCUCUGCUGGAGAGGAGGGCGUGUA